UACGUAGGGCGCAAGCGUUGUCCGGAAUUAUUGGGCGUAAAGAGCUCGUAGGCGGUUUGUCGCGUCUGGUGUGAAAACCUCAGGCUCAACCUGGGGCGUGCAUCGGGUACGGGCAGACUAGAGUGCGGUAGGGGAGACUGGAAUUCCUGGUGUAGCGGUGGAAUGCGCAGAUAUCAGGAGGAACACCGAUGGCGAAGGCAGGUCUCUGGGCCGCAACUGACGCUGAGGAGCGAAAGCAUGGGGAGCGAACGGG
rnacentral:rRNA from 1 species